CAAUAAUAUGGAAAAUUUGAAGAAAUAUAGUUUUUUCAACCAUUGUUUAGAUCUGAAAUCAGGUGGGACUACCCGCUGAACUUAAGCAUAUCAAUAAGCGGAGGAAAAGAAACUAACAAGGAUUCCCCUAGUAACGGCGAGUGAAGCGGGAAAAGCUCAAAUUUAAAAUCUGGCAGGUUAUCCUGUCCGAGUUGUAGUUUCAAGAAGCGUUUUCGGUGCGCGUCUGGGUAUAAGUUCUUUGGAACAGGACAUCAUAGAGGGUGAGAAUCCCGUUUAUGACCCGGAACAGCGUACUAUGUGAUACGUUUUCUAAGAGUCAGGUUGUUUGGGAAUGCAGCCUAAAAUGGGUGGUAAAUUUCAUCUAAAGCUAAAUAUUGGCGAGAGACCGAUAGCGAACAAGUACCGUGAGGGAAAGAUGAAAAGAACUUUGAAAAGAGAGUUAAACAGUACGUGAAAUUGUUGAAAGGGAAACGUUUGAAAUCAGUCGUGCGGGCGGGUAAUCAGCUUGGCCUUUGGGUCUUGUGCACUUACUCGUCUCGCAGGCCAGCGUCGGUUUUGUUUGCCGGAUAAAUGCCAAUGGAAUGUAGCUCAACCUUUUACGAGGAGGGGUGUUAUAGCCCUGGUAAAUACGGCGGUCGAGACCGAGGUCUGCAGUUGAUGCCUCUCGGGGCUGGGGACUCCAUCGCUCAUUCGCACCCGCGCCUAGACAGCUUGCUGACUAGGUGUGUGGUCUGUGGGUGACACGGUGGGCUACCACACAUCGACUUGGGUCGCUGGCGUAAUGGUUUUAAAUGACCCGUCUUGAAACACGGACCAAGGAGUCUAACAUAUAUGCGAGUGUUUGGGUGGCAAACUCAUGCGCGUAAUGAAAGUGAAUGUAGGUGA
rnacentral:rRNA from 1 species